rnacentral:rRNA from 1 species
AAUGAACGUUGGCGGCGUGGAUUAGGCAUGCAAGUCGAGCGUGAUAGGUUUGGUGCUUGCAUUAAACCUUGAAAGCGGCGAAAGGGACAGUAACGCGUAGAUACCUACCUCCAGGUCCGGGAUAGCGGCGGGAAACUGCCGGUAAUACCGGAUAAUGUCUUCGGCCCAAACGUGGCAUUCCGCCCGGAGACGGAUCUGCGUCCUAUGAGCUAGUUGGUGGGGUAAUGGCCCACCAAGGCGAUGAGGGGUAGCGGGCGGGAGAGCGUGGCCCGCGUCACUGGGACUGAGACACUGCCCAGACACCUACGGGUGGCUGCAGUCGAGAAUCUUCGGCAAUGGGCGCAAGCCUGACCGAGCGACGCCGCGUGCGGGAUGAAGGCCUUCGGGUUGUAAACCGCUGUCGGAGAGGCGGAAAUCUCUAGGGGUUCUCCCCUGGGGUUGACCUAAUCUCGGAGGAAGUCCGGGCUAAGUUCGUGCCAGCCGCCGCCGUAAGAC